GAUGAACGCUGGCGGCGGGCUUAACACAUGCAAGUCGAACGAUGACGCCCAGUUUGCUGGGUGGGUUAGAUGCGAACGGGUGAGUAACACGUGAGUAACUUGCCCUUAACCCUGGGAUAAGCCUGGGAAACUGGGUCUAAUACCGGAUAAGAGCGUACACCGCAUGUCGGGUGUUGGAAAGAUUGAUCGGCAUUGUAUGAAUUCGCGGCGUAUCAGCUUGCUGGUGAGGUAAGGGAUGACUAAGGCGACGACGGGUAGCCGGCCUGGGAGGGUGACCGGGCACACUGGGAGUGAGACACGGCACAGACUCGUACGGGAGGCAGCAGUGGGGAAUAUUGCACAAUGGGCGCAAGCCUGAUGCAGCGACGCUGCGUGAGGGAUGACGGACUUCGGGUUGUAAACCUCUUUCAGUAGGGAAGAAGCGAAAGUGACGGUACCUGAAGAAGAAGCACCGGCUAACUACGUG
rnacentral:rRNA from 1 species